rnacentral:rRNA from 1 species
GUCCAGACUCCUACGGGAGGCAGCAGUGGGGAAUAUUGCACAAUGGGGGAAACCCUGAUGCAGCAACGCCGCGUGGGUGAAGGAGCGUUUCGGCGCGUAAAGCCCUGUCAGCGGGGAAGAAGAAAGACGGUACCCGACCAAGAAGCCCCGGCUAACUACGUGCCAGCAGCCGCGGUAAUACGUAGGGGGCAAGCGUUAUCCGGAUUUACUGGGUGUAAAGGGAGCGUAGACGGUUACGCAAGUCUGGAGUGAAAGGCGGGGGCCCAACCCCCGGACUGCUUUGGAAACUGUAUAACUGGAGUGCAGGAGGGGUAAGUGGAAUUCCUAGUGUAGCGGUGAAAUGCGUAGAUAUUAGGAGGAACACCAGUGGCGAAGGCGGCUUACUGGACUGUAACUGACGUUGAGGCUCGAAAGCGUGGGGAGCAAACAGGAUUAGAUACCCGGGUAG